ensembl:piRNA 21ur-11304 ncRNA
UUUUUCAGACUCCUUGCUAUC